AACGCACCUUGCGCCCUCUGGUAUUCCAGAGGGCAUGCCUGUUUGAGUGUCAUGUUAACGUCACCACCUCGUUCAAUUCAUUGGACUUGGAGGGUGGAUCUGGAUGCUGCCGUGAUUGGCUCGUCCUCAAAUGCAUUAGCCGUGCGUCUUCGGCCUUUUGGUGUGAUAGUUUAUUUACGCCGCUGGGUUCUGAGUGUGCGUUGGCUUACAGUCGUCCUUUUGGGACAGCUUUAAAGCUCUGGCCUCAAAUCAGGUAGGACUACCCGCUGAACUUAA
rnacentral:misc_RNA from 1 species